rnacentral:rRNA from 1 species
UACCCUAAUCUCGAUUCGAGGAGGUAGUGACAAGAAAUACCGAUGCGGGACCCUACGGGUGCCGCGUUCGGAAUGAGUACGAUUCGAACCACCUAACGAGGAACGAUCGGAGGGCAAGUCUGGUGCCAGCAGCCGCGGUAAUUCCAGCUCCAAUAGCGUACGUUAAAGUUGCUGCAGUUAAAAAGCUCGUAGUUGAACGUUCGGGUUCCGCGGGACGGGGCCGCCCCGCGAGGGACGGCGCCGCCCCGGGGCUCGUGAUAUCUCAUCUCGCCGCCCGUCGCGAGGCGGACGGAGGGAUGGAUGAGGUUACCUGGAAAAAAUCGGGGCGAUCUAGGCGGGCGAACCUCGCCAACGAACGAUCGGACAUGGGAUAACGGAAGAGGGCGUCGGCUCGACUUCGUCGGUUCCUCGGGCCGAGGCACGUACGGUGAAUAGGGACG